rnacentral:rRNA from 1 species
UUGACGGGGGCCCGCACAAGCGGUGGAGCAUGUGGUUUAAUUCGAUGAUACGCGAGGAACCUUACCUGGGCUCAAAUGUAUGUUGACGUAUUCUGAAAGGGAUACUUCUUCGGACAAUAUACAAGGUGCUGCAUGGUUGUCGUCAGCUCGUGCCGUGAGGUGUCGGGUUAAGUCCCAUAACGAGCGCAACCCCUAUCAUUAGUUGCCAUCAGGUCAAGCUGGGGACUCUAAUGAAACUGCCUACGCAAGUAGUGAGGAAGGUGGGGAUGACGUCAAAUCAGCACGGCCCUUACGUCCAGGGCUACACACGUGCUACAAUGGCCGGUACAAAGGGCAGCUACCUGGUGACAGGAUGCUAAUCUCAAAAGCCGGUCUCAGUUCGGAUUGUAGUCUGCAACUCGACUACAUGAAGCCGGAAUCGCUAGUAAUCGCAGAUCAGCCAAGCUGCGGUGAAUACGUUCCCGGGCCUU